GUCAAUGUGAAAAGACAGAAUCCAACUGCUUUCCUAUCAAGCUAAACCAACCAUCAAGGCUGAAGCCAGAAUAGCUAAUGAAAAAAGGUUGGCUCUUUUCGUUCCAGGAUUAAGGCUGAAUGACUUGUCCAACUUAGAUGAGAGUCCAGGAAAAGGCACGGCAUCUUUAAGGAAGUGCCGAAAGUAUGAUGUGAGCUCUUGGGCCUGUCCUCCUUCACAAUGAACCAUGGCACAAUCUUGCCUUCAGAGCAGCAAUUUCCUGCCUUCUCUCUGUGACAUGUAUAAAGCAAUAUUCUUUUUCUUUUUCUUACACUUUCUUACAGUCUCGAAGUAAAAAAAUGUAUUAUACUUUGCCACUUGGUGAUGUGGGUGAAAGCAGAAUAACAUAGUAGGUGG